rnacentral:rRNA from 1 species
AGGAUGAACGCUGGCGGCGUGCCUAACACAUGCAAGUCGAACGUCCUGUCUCGCAAGAGGCAGGGAGUGGCGGACGGGUGAGUACCACGUGGGUCAUCUACCGUGAGGUGAGGAAUACCGGCGAGAAAUCGCCGACAAGACCGCAUAGGCUCGAUGCAAGUCGAGCAAAGCUCUUUCGAGAGAGGGAGCGCCACACGAGGAGCCUGCGCCCGAUUAGCUAGCUGGUGGAGUAACGGUUCACCAGGGCGACGAUCGGUAGCUGGUCUGAGAGGACGAUCAGCCACACUGGGAUUGAGAACGGCCCAGACUCCUACGGGGGGCAGCAGUGAGGAAUUUUCGUCAAUGGGGGCAACCCUGAACGAGCAACGCCGCGUGCAGGAGAAGGUUUCGGAUCGUAAACUGCUUUUCUCGGGAAGAGAACGGACGGUACCCGAGGAAUCAGCCCCGGCUAACUACGUGCCAGCAGCCGCGGU